CCUACGGGAGGCAGCAGUGAGGCAUAUUGGUCAAUGGGCGAAACCCUGAACCAGCAACGCCGCGUGAGGGCAGACGGUUUUCGGAUUGUAAAACUCUGUUCUCUGUGAAGAUAAUGACGGUAGCUAACUAGGAAGCUCUGGCUAACUACGUGACAGCAGACGCAGUAACACGUAGGGAGCAAGCGUUCUCCGGAUUUACUGGGUGUAAAGGGUGCGUAGGCGGGUUUGCAAGUCAGAGGUGAAAUCCAUGGGCUUAACCCAUGAACUGCAUUUGAAACUGCAGAGCUUGAGUGGAGUAGAGGUAGGCGGAAUUCCAGGUGUAGCGGUGAAAUGCGUAGAGAUAGGGAGGAACACCAGUGGCGAAGGCGGCCUACUGGGCUCUAACUGACGCUGAUGCACGAAAGCGUGGGUAGCAAACAGGAUUAGAUACCCGGGUAGUC
rnacentral:rRNA from 1 species